AAGAGAGGAGCUUGCUCUUCUUGGAUGAGUUGCGAACGGGUGAGUAACGCGUAGGUAACCUGCCUUGUAGCGGGGGAUAACUAUUGGAAACGAUAGCUAAUACCGCAUAACAAUGGAUGACACAUGUCAUUUAUUUGAAAGGGGCAAUUGCUCCACUACAAGAUGGACCUGCGUUGUAUUAGCUAGUAGGUGAGGUAAUGGCUCACCUAGGCGACGAUACAUAGCCGACCUGAGAGGGUGAUCGGCCACACUGGGACUGAGACACGGCCCAGACUCCUACGGGAGGCAGCAGUAGGGAAUCUUCGGCAAUGGGGGCAACCCUGACCGAGCAACGCCGCGUGAGUGAAGAAGGUUUUCGGAUCGUAAAGCUCUGUUGUAAGUCAAGAACGGGUGUGAGAGUGGAAAGUUCACACUGUGACGGUAGCUUACCAGAAAGGGACGGCUAACUACGUGCCAGCAGCCGCGGUAAUACGUAGGUCCCGAGCGUUGUCCGGAUUUAUUGGGCGUAAAGCGAGCGCAGGCGGUUUGAUAAGUCUGAAGUUAAAGGCUGUGGCUCAACCAUAGUUCGCUUUGGAAACUGUCAAACUUGAGUGCAGAAGGGGAGAGUGGAAUUCCAUGUGUAGCGGUGAAAUGCGUAGAUAUAUGGAGGAACACCGGUGGCGAAAGCGGCUCUCUGGUCUGUAACUGACGCUGAGGCUCGAAAGCGUGGGGAGCGAACAGGAUUAGAUACCCUGGUAGUCCACGCCGUAAACGAUGAGUGCUAGGUGUUGGAUCCUUUCCGGGAUUCAGUGCCGCAGCUAACGCAUUAAGCACUCCGCCUGGGGAGUACGACCGCAAGGUUGAAACUCAAAGGAAUUGACGGGGGCCCGCACAAGCGGUGGAGCAUGUGGUUUAAUUCGAAGCAACGCGAAGAACCUUACCAGGUCUUGACAUCCCGAUGCUAUUUCUAGAGAUAGAAAGUUACUUCGGUACAUCGGUGACAGGUGGUGCAUGGUUGUCGUCAGCUCGUGUCGUGAGAUGUUGGGUUAAGUCCCGCAACGAGCGCAACCCCUAUUGUUAGUUGCCAUCAUUCAGUUGGGCACUCUAGCGAGACUGCCGGUAAUAAACCGGAGGAAGGUGGGGAUGACGUCAAAUCAUCAUGCCCCUUAUGACCUGGGCUACACACGUGCUACAAUGGUUGGUACAACGAGUUGCGAGUCGGUGACGGCGAGCUAAUCUCUUAAAGCCAAUCUCAGUUCGGAUUGUAGGCUGCAACUCGCCUACAUGAAGUCGGAAUCGCUAGUAAUCGCGGAUCAGCACGCCGCGGUGAAUACGUUCCCGGGCCUUGUACACACCGCCCGUCACACCACGAGAGUUUGUAACACCCGAAGUCGGUGAGGUAACCUU
rnacentral:rRNA from 1 species